rnacentral:rRNA from 1 species
CAGUCGCCGCGGGAAUACAGAGGGUGCGAGCGUUAAUCGGAUUUACUGGGCGUAAAGCGUGCGUAGGCGGCUUUUUAAGUCGGAUGUGAAAUUCCUGAGCUUAACUUAGGAAUUGCAUUCGAUACUGGGAAGCUAGAGUAUGGGAGAGGAUGGUAGAAUUCCAGGUGUAGCGGUGAAAUGCGUAGAGAUCUGGAGGAAUACCGAUGGCGAAGGCAGCCAUCUGGCCUAAUACUGACGCUGAGGUACGAAAGCAUGGGGAGCAAACAGGAUUAGAUACCCCUGUAGUCCCUGUCUCUUAUAC